CCGGUGGGAGGCGGCCCCAUCGGUUGGGCCGCUGCUGUGUGUGCGGGGCUCCUGCCCAGGGCAGGGGGAGGUCCGCAGGCCGGUUCAAAGGCAGAGGAUGCUGUAAUAGCGAGGGUGCUGGCAGAGCAGCCCUCAUUGUUUGUGGAAUGAUGUUUGUUCACAGCAACAUAAUAAGAAUCAUUUGGGAGCUCGGCGUUGGUGCCGCUUCCCUUGCGCGUUGCCUGCAGUGGGAUCUUGUCCCUGCUGUGUACCCGACAAGACAGAGGGGUCGAUGAUGGAAGCCCAGCCUGUCAGAUCUGCCGCACGGCCUCGGCUCCAUUGGCAUGACUGGCCUGAAAUGAAAUCACUUUUGAGUUUUAUGUGGCCUCUUCCUUGUCAAAAUCCCAGUGAAUGUGGUUAUGUGAUGCCAUUGGAAUGACUCAUUGCCAUAAUUACAUAUGUUCUAAGGGGUUAUUCCCAUUGUAUUAUUAAAAACCAGUGAUGUUUGAUUUUUGGCAGGGGCUGUCUUCCUUGUAUGAUCUACAGAUUUUGUCAAUUAAAUGAAGGAAAAGGAGAUCUCCAAGACUUCAGAACAAGACUGGACUUGAAAUCAGAGCACUUUUUCAGCACGGAAUUGAGCUACUUGGUUUUAACAGGGUAAAGGCAACAUCAGCCAUCUUACUCUCCCUGUUGCAGUGAUUCCCUGCAGAACACAAGGACAGAAGUGGGUUUCUUAGCCAGCCUUCAAAAUCAUCCCAACCACAGCCAGAAGAUACAGUAGAUGGUUUAUCACCACAGUAGUUUUCCCAGCUCAGCUCCUCAGGAAUGGGUUUUCAGGGACAAAGCUCACAAGAGCUGAAGCAGGGCUCCUUGGCAACAAGCUCCAGGUUUGAUGGCUCCUUAACAGACCAAAACAAAGUGAUCCCAGAUACUGUUGCCUUGGAUCUGGACUUCCCAAAAUGGUGAUGGAAAGCAACAGGGGGAAGCUGGAGGGAGGAGAAAUCUGAUCUUUCUGACAGGAAUGAAGUGGUUACUAGCAAUAGAAGCUAAAGCAUUUAUGUACAAAUGCUUAGUUUUGUGAUUUGAUUUUAAUAGUCAUGAAAAGUGAUUUCUUUUGUGGAAAGCUGAACAUCGGCUUUGUGUGGCACAGGAUUUGACAUGGCCUUUUGGCCUAAAUGCCAGGUUCUAACCAGGCAUUUGAGCUUGUGUAGUAAAUAACAAUAUAUUAUCUGCCCAAUUGCCUCUGUUUUCCCACUAAGAUCCUGCUGCUCUUCGAAUAUCAUGAAGAUGCUGGCAAGCAGCUCCAUCUAAACGAUGGUUUGGCAUUCAGUUGGGUAUAAUAUAUUAUGUGUAUAAAUGCCAUUGGUGUGAUUUAUUUAUGGUGACUGGUUAAAUACAGCUGGUAUUUCUGUAGUUUUAAUAGAGAUUUUAAACUGA